rnacentral:rRNA from 1 species
GACGAACGCUGGCGGCGUGCUUAACACAUGCAAGUCGAACGGAAAGGCCUUGCUUUUGUGGUGUGCUCGAGUGGCGAACGGGUGUGUAACACGUGAGUAACCUGCCUUUGACUUUGGGAUCACUUCAGGAAACUGGGUCUUAUACCGGAUAGGAUCUUCUGCUGCAUGGUGGGUGUUGGAAAGUUUCGGCGGUUGGGGAUGGACUCGCGGUUUAUCAGCUUGUUGGUGGGGUAGUGGCUUACCAAGGCUUUGACGGGUCGCCGGCCUGAGGGGGGGACCGGCAAAAUGGGGACUGAGAUACGGCCAAGACUCCUACGGGAGGCAGCAGGGGGGAAAAUUGCACAAUGGGCGGAAGCCUGAGGAAGCAACGCGGCGGGCGGGAUAACGGCCUUCGGGUUGUAAACCGCUUUCGCCUGUGACGAAGCGUGAGUGACGGUAAUGGGUAAAGAAGCACCGGCUAACUACGUG